CAAAAAUAACAACUUCUUAGUGGAAGCAAAAGAGCUAGACUGAGAAGAGGUGCUGUUAAUUUCAGCCCUAUUUAUACCAUCACUGGCUACAGGCACUGUCGGCUCACUCUCUAAGGAUCCAUCCUGGAGAUUCCAGUAUAGCGGGGGCUGAACCGUCGCUGGUCAUUAUCUGUCUUCUGAGAGAUACAUUCUAAGCUACAUGACAUACAGACAUUUGGAAGCAAAGCAUAGGAAAAUAUCAUACAGACCCUCCGCCUCCCUGCCAAGCUAUCAAAUGUGAAAAUAACAGCAACAUCAACUAAUGUCAACUGAGUUCCUUCUUUGUAUCAGACC